rnacentral:rRNA from 1 species
CUGGGGCUGGAGUCGGUCCCAAGGGUUGGGCUGUUCGCCCAUUAAAGCGGUACGCGAGCUGGGUUUAGAACGUCGUGAGACAGUUCGGUCCCUAUCCGCUGUGCGCGUAGGAAUAUUGAGAAGGGCUGUCCCUAGUACGAGAGGACCGGGACGGACGAACCUCUGGUGUGCCAGUUGUCCUGCCAAGGGCAUGGCUGGUUGGCUACGUUCGGAAAGGAUAACCGCUGAAAGCAUCUAAGCGGGAAGCCUGCUUCGAGAUGAGUAUUCCCACCCUCUUGAAGGGUUAAGGCUCCCAGUAGACGACUGGGUUGAUAGGCCAGAUGUGGAAGCCCUGUAAGGGGUGGAGCUGACUGGUACUAAUAGGCCGAGGGCUUGUCCUCAGUUG